AAUCCUUUUUCACAUCUGUGUUUAACGUUUAUGACGAAUGAUGUUAUCGUUUCUUUGUCUCUUUUAGGUCAUCAUUAUCAGGCUUGUGGUUUAGUAUCUACGCGUAAGCACAUUCAGUUGUUGAUUUCUACGUUUAACAAGUUGUUUUAGCUCGGUUUAACGUGUACGACAAAACUAAAUUUGCGUUAUUUCUUCAACUAAAUUAAUAAAUAUAAAUAUUUUACGUAGACAAAUUUAAACUAGAAUAAUUGGAAAGGUUAACACCAUCACAAUUAAAUUUUGAGUGAAUUAAUACCUAAUGGAUGCUUGUGUAGUGUUACAUGAUCAAUUUGGAAUUUCAUGGAUCAAAAGCACUUAGGAGUACUAAAAUUUCGCAGUUUAGGGGCAUUGCCAAUACAUUUAUCUUCUCGGAAUAAUGGGAGGAGUUCCUUCGGAACGUUCCUGGUAGUCUCUUCUAACGCAAUGACAGAGAUACAGGGAGAAAAGGAGCGCAUAAUUCCUGAUUCCGAUGCCGGAAUUUACAGAAUGACGAUGUCGCCCAAUGGUCAUGCAUUGCCACCAGACACUGUUAACGAACCAAACAAAUACCACCGAAAACAGCCGGAAACUAACAGAAACUCACCUUCCAGGAAAGAACAAAGCACUCCCAUCAAACGAUCAUUUCAAAUAAACUCAUCACGAAAAUCUCCUCAGUUCUCUGCGGACGUAUCAGAUUCUCCAAUUAUCAAAAAUAAUUCUUCACCACAAGUACUUUGUUUCUUUUGCAAUUUGCUACCACCGUUAAAAGUUAUCGAAGGAUUGCAAAUGAUAUAGAGAACCGAAGUGGUAUUGAGGGUGAACGUUUGUACAACGGAUAAACAGCAGCUACCACCAACUCCUUUGCCAACGAGGAAAAAGCUCAAAGAAGAAAUCGAAUGCGAAAAGCUGUCACAAGAUCUCAUUAUGCAGUUGUCUCAUACUGUUAAGUUGAAGCGUCUCUUAGUGUCAGGUCCAAAACAUAAAAAGCCUACGAACUAUGUGAGAGGACUUUUUCGUCCUGAAGUCAUAUCCAGGUCAAAGUCAGCUAGUUCCUACUUGCGAAAUUGGAACAAUUCGCCUCCUGAUAGUAGUCCUUCUUCUUCAGUAACUUCUUCCACAGGUCAUCUACUUGUAAAAACAAGGACAUUAUAAAAGCUCUGGAGGCCAUGUGUUAUGGGGCACAUCAGUCCUUGUUCACUCCUGGAUGUAGUGGUGUCUCAAGGAAGGAUUAAUGGAAACAGAUGCUGUAUGUUGCUGUUGCUAAUGAAUGGAUUUACAAAAAUGAAUUGGGACAUUAUAAUAGCUCUGGAUAUCAUGUGCUGUGGGGCGUAUCAGUUCUUCUCGCUCCUGGAUAUAGUGGUGUCUCAGAGAAAGGAUUAAUGGAAGCAAAUGCUACAUGUUGCUGUUGCUAAUGGAAGGAUUUAUUACAAUGAAUUGGGACAUUAUAUAUAAAAGCUCUGGACGUCAUGUGUUAUGGGGCAUAUCAGUCCUUCUUUUCACUCCUUGAUAUAGUGAUGUCUGAAGGAAGGAUUAAUGGAAACAGAUGCUGUAUGUUGCUAUUGCUAAUAAAAGGAUUCAUAAAAAUGAAUUGGUAUGUACCAACACUGAUUAAGAUAGUAGA